AUCGAACGCUGGCGGCAGGCCUAACACAUGCAAGUCGAGCGAGCGGCGGACGGGUGAGUAAUGUCUGGGAAACUGCCCGUAGGCCGGGGAUAACUACUGGAAAAGGUAGCUAAUACCGCAUACCAUCAGAUGUGCCCAGAUGGGAUUAGCUAGUAGGUGGGGUAACGGCUCACCUAGGCGACGAUCCCUAGCUUGUCUGAGAGGAUGACCAGCCACACGGGAACGGAGACACGGUCCAGACUCCUACGGUAGGCAGCAGUGGGGAAUAUUGCACAAUGGGCGCAAGCCUGAUGCAGCCAUGCCGCGUGUGUGAAGAAGGCCUUCGGGUUGUAAAGCACUGUCGGCGAGAAGGCGUUACCCGCAGAAGAAGCACCGGCUCACUCCGUGCCAGCAGCCGCGGUAAUAC
rnacentral:rRNA from 1 species